GAAGCGGCAGCUGCGAAUAUCAAACCAACUUCAGCCGGGGAAUACGAGGCUGCGAAUAUCGAGCCAAACGAAUCUGGAGCUGCGAAUAUCAAACCAACUUCAGCCGGGGAAUACGAGGCUGCGAAUAUCGAGCCAAACGAAUCUGGAGCUGCGAAUAUCAAACCAACUUCAGCCGGGGAAUACGAGGCUGCGAAUAUCGAGCCAAACGAAUCUGCAGCUGCGAAUAUCAAACCAACUUCAGCCGGGGAAUACGAGGCUGCGAAUAUCGAACCAAACGAAUCUGGAGCUGCGAAUAUCAAACCAACUUCAGCCUCGUUGAACGCGCUUCAGCUGGGUUUAACCUAAUCAGAGUUGAGUAACCUAACUCUGAUCAGCUGCUGUGGAACUGAAAACUCGGAGUAUGACGCGGUGAGGUAAGUCAACUCGGAGUUCAGGGUUAGGUUUGGAGUUUGUUGAACCAGCUUUCUGGAAUACCCCCCAGGCCUUUAUUAAAGUAAAUCAGCCGGAGGACAGUAGGACCUGGGAGGGUGGAGGCCUAAUGGGCAACCUGCCCCUUUAAAAAUAAAAAGAUGGUCUGGAGAGGAGAGAGCAGGUAAGCUCUUUUUUUUAAUGUAGCACUUUGUAACAGUUUUACCCUGUUUGAUAUCUUGACUGAGUUCCUGCAGUGGUUGUGUUGUGUAGGUGCUGCUGGGUAGGGUAGUGUUGUUUGAAUGAUUUGAGCCGCUGUUUGUGUGGGAGAGGAGUCGAGACGCAGAGCAGAGAGCAGUGUCGGACAGGUGCUGCUGGAGCUGUUUCACUAAAUUCAGGUCUUUCAGUGGGACAAGACAGUAUUAAUUGUCCAAGUUGCACAAGAAGGCUGCGGUGCUCCUGAUUGCCGUUCCUCCCUGUGUGCCAAGAGGAUGUGUCCGGGCCAGGGUAUCCAAGAGGGGAUACCAAGGGUAUCGUGUAUUUUAAAGGAAGUGCACUAAGUAAGUGACUAAAAAAAAUAAUAUUUGAAUAGUAAUGUGUGUUUUGGCAGGACCUGCACAUGGCUAAAGGUUGAAGAUAUUGGCCAUUGUUUUCUAUAUUGCUUUCUAUACUAUGUUCUGUAUUGAUUUCUUAUAUAUUCUGGCAUUUGUAUUUCGGUUCUAUUCUUUGAUCUAUAAAUUACUGUGAAUUUUUUGUUUUGCUUUUUUCUAUUGAUUUAGAUUUAUAGUUAUAUUUUGUGUUUCAGAGCUUUG